AUAUAAGUAAAGGAAUAUUUCUGCUAUAAAAUUCGAUUUAAUUCGAUUAGGUAGUUGAUAGGGUAAAGGCCUACCAAGCCAACGAUCGAAAGCCAUGUUUGAUAGAUCAUAUGGCCACAUUGGGAAUGAAAUAUCCCAAGUAGAGAACUCUACCAGCAGUCGAGAAUAUUAGUCAAUGCUCGUAAGAGUGAACUAGCUAACUGGAAUCAUAAGUGUGUCACUUGUGAUAAGGUAAAGGAAAAAUGAUGAUGUCACUUUACUAGUAGUGUUGUCCAAAGCUGAGACUCGGUAAUGCCAGAGACGCAAGCGUUAGUCAUCCUGAUCAGGCGUAAAGGGUUUGUAGGCAGCUUUCAAAUAAUGAAAGAUAGAAUCAUAUAGAGGUCACUUUUAGAUAAUUCUUAUAGUAGGGUUGAUAUCUGUAGAUAAUAAGAGGAAUACUAAUUAGCGAAGGCACUUUUCCAAGUAAUGAUUGACGCUGAGAAACGAAGGGGAGGAAAGAAAAUAGGAUUAGAUACCCUCGUAUCCCUCUCUGUCAACGAUGAAUGGUAGUUGCUAGUAUAAAUUAUUAGUGACGAUGCUAACGCGUUAACCAUUCCGCCUUGUGAGUACGACUGCAAAGUUGAAAACAAAAAAAUUAGUCGGUUUCGGAGUAA
rnacentral:rRNA from 1 species